UACGUAGGGUGCAAGCGUUGUCCGGAAUUAUUGGGCGUAAAGAGCUCGUAGGCGGUCUGUUGCGUCGGCUGUGAAAACCCGGGGCUCAACUCCGGGCCUGCAGCCGAUACGGGCAGACUAGAGUUCGGCAGGGGAGACUGGAAUUCCUGGUGUAGCGGUGAAAUGCGCAGAUAUCAGGAGGAACACCGGUGGCGAAGGCGACUUCCUGGCCUGUUCUUGACGCUGAGGCGCGAAAGCUAGGGGAGCAAACGGG
rnacentral:rRNA from 1 species